CAGAGGCCUCGAGCGUUAGGCGGAAUCACUGGGCUUAAAGCGUGUGUAGGCGGAUUGGUAAGUACCUUGUGAAAUCCCACAGCUUAACUGUGGAACUGCUCGGUAUACUGCUGAUCUUGAGCCACUCAGGGGCUACCGGAACAAAUAGUGGAGCGGUGAAAUGCGUAGAUAUCAUUUGGAACGCCAAUGGUGAAAACAGGUAGCUGGGGGUGUGCUGACGCUGAGACACGAAAGCCAGGGGAGCAAACGGGAUUAGAUACCCCGGUAGUCCUGGCCGUAAACGAUGUCGACUAGAUCGUGGCGCCUCUGACGGUGUCACGGUCGUAGCAAAAGUGCUAAGUCGACCGCCUGGGAAGUACGGUCGCAAGGCUA
rnacentral:rRNA from 1 species